rnacentral:rRNA from 1 species
GAUGAGCGCUAGCGAUAGGCUUAACACAUGCCAGUCGAGGGGCAGCACAAGGUAGCUUGCUAUCUGGGUGGCGACCGGCGCACGGGUGCGUAACGCGUAUGCAACUUGCCCUAUACAGGAGGAUAACCCGUCGAAAGACGGACUAAUACUGCGUAUGCUCACAACUUGGCAUCAAGUGGCGCGGAAAGAAAUUCGGUAUAGGAUAGGCCUGCGUCCCAUUAGCUUGUUGGUGAGGUAACGGCCCACCAAGGCAACGAUGGGUAGGGGAACUGAGAGGUUUAUCCCCCGCAAUGGUACUGAGACCCGGACCAGACUCCUACGGGAGGCAGCAGUGAGGAAUAUUGGUCGAUGGGCGCGAGCCUGAACCAGCCAAGUCGCGUGAAGGAUGACUGUCUUAUGGAUUGUAAACUUCUUUGAUACGAGAAUAACAAGAGUCACGUGUGACUCCCUGCAGGUACCGUAUGAAUAAGCAUCGGCUAACUCCGUG